rnacentral:misc_RNA from 1 species
GCAUCCUGGGACCUGUUUGGAUCGGUUUGUUACCGGUGGUUGGCUCUCUGCUUUUGCAACAACUUCCACCUGGCAUUCCUCUUCGGUUUUGCGUCAAGAAAGCAUUUCCUUGAGCGCGUAUGGUUUCUUGUGUUGCCUACCUACGUGACGGUAUUGGUUGAUUAAAUCAAAGUCAUGUUUCAUCAUGUGUCAUUUGUAUGGCAUAGGAUGAACCUCAAAGCAAUUUCUAUGAUCCGCCCUGUUGAUGAGCAUGCGUCUAUGUUGUGGCUCAUUGAGUUUUGCUUGGUUUUCUGGAUGCGGAACAUGAUAUGGGUGUGGGUCGCCGCGAUCCUCUUUUCGCCCUCUUUGAACGUUGUUAUUACUUUGAGAUGACUGCUAUCCCGAAUUGGCUCGUACCACCGGGGUGGGUUACGUUGUUGAAGAGCAAUACAAGCGUUCUUGCUUCUCUAAAACAGAAGACGGCCUGGCCUGGAUUGGCUUGUACCAACAGGCGGGCUAUAUGUCGAAAAGGGAUGCUACCUGGUUGAUCCUGCCAGUAGUCAUAUGCUUGUCUCAA